ensembl:lncRNA
AGAGUUUCCUCUUAGUUGUUCUCCUCUUGCCUUUGAGGCCCUUGUUGCCCAAAUUUUUAAUUCUUACUCUGAGCACAAAAAUAUCAAGCAAACGCCUAAAUAGUCAAACACCAGAAGAAGUAUUAAAGAGAAAAGAAUGCCCGUGUGAGUAUGCUCCUUUUCAAGAGAGGCAAAUUGUACUGCCAGUCUGAGCACUUGCUCAGACACUUCUAAGUAAAAAUUGCUUCAUCACACUCCAAGAACUUGGCAGUCUGUCAUUUUCAAACAGAAAGCCUGUCCACUGACUUUGAGAUUUGCCCAUGAAUUUUCUGCUGGCUGCAGUGGGUUGUAGCUGGGAGAGGUCCGAUGCUGAUUUCAUCUAAGCAAGCCACCAAGGAGGAUGUGGGAGCCCAAAUCCAAGAUGACUGUAGUAUCUUAAAUGCUGCUGCUGCAUUGGAGCUCUCUAGUGGAUAUGUGCUGCAAAGCAGCCUCCUCACUUCCCUCAGUUUCCAGAACACAAUUAUAUUCUGGCAUUCUCAAGCUGUGAAUAACCACCAGGGCCAAG